rnacentral:rRNA from 1 species
GGUAGUGGGCGUGGCCCGUUGGCACACCCGAUCCCUCGAUCUCGGAAGUUGAGCAACGUGGAGUCCAAACAGUAGUUGGAUGGGAGACCACAAAGGAAGACUGGAUGUUGUAGCCG